UGAACGAAAACGAGAUUUUCCAGCAAAACCGCCGCAUUCUUACUGUAGGAAUAUUUUAGCUUCUUCUAUACAAUUUUGUGUAUAUAAACAAUAUGACUUAAAUUCUAGAAACGUCUCCUUCGACACACCGAGGUUAUAGUUUCCAAACACAUUGGUACAGCAACCAAACGCAUUGGUACGCAGUGUGCAAAGCAACCGUGUGCAAGGCCCAUUCAUUGUACGUUUACCUGGGAAAAAACGUGAUUUACUUUCCCCUUUACGAAUGAGGACUUCAAAGCUCAGGGCUCGCCCGGCAAAAGUUCUGUGCAUACAACCCUUGAGCAACAGAAAGCGACGACCAACGUUGUGCGAACGAUGUAUUAGUGAAGUGUAUAGUGAUCGACUGGCAUCAUGGGCUGAGCCGUCGUCUGCCCACUCCGCAUUUAAGCGCGUCUUGGUUUGCCGGUCGUAAAAAAAUCCUACUGAUACUAUUCUGCUGUGGUAGUUCUGUUCGAAGAACGGCACACGAAGAAGACGACCGAAACUGUAACAUCAGAGGUGGGCAACUACGGGGAAGGCUGGUAACGUACCGACUAGACCGACAAGCACACGUACUCAAGGACAUCCUCACGGACACGCGAAGGCCAAAGUACACUGGCACAGGGGCAAACACCAUCAAACUAGAAGCCAGCCGAGUGCGUUCGAGGCAAAACGCAAAAUACGGUUCCUCAUGUACUUCCUCUGUUCUAUUCCCAUUUGCUAGUACAAGGCUAUUGCAUUUUUUCAAAUAAAUUCAAUUCCCCAAGCCCCAAAGUAAACUCUAGAUUACGGAUGCGUAAAAAAAAUAUAGCUACAUGUUCUUUAUGUAAUCUCAUGAAAAUCCAAAAACAUACAAGUAAAUACUUAUGCAUUAGGAAUUCGACUUAGUUGAUGCCAACGACGCUGAAAACCGGGUGCCUAAAUCCCUAGCGAUUGAAAAGUGCGUAACUUUUGCUGAAAGGAAUCCAGCUGGUUUAAUUAAAUUAGCUGAAUGUCCUUCAGUUCAUAAGGUGCCAUACUGCGCGUGACACACCGUACGUGUGAGUCGAUAAUGCGGGGAUAAAACACUAAGUUACUGAGACAAUUUUACAAAGUUUUGUAUAGACGAAAUCAGUUUA